rnacentral:lncRNA from 10 species
CUCUUUUUAAUCUGGAAAGAUGACUUCGUAGCCCCCAUGGCCUAGUGUUGGGUCUGAUCACCCUAACAUUUCUGGCGCCCAACAUGGGGCUAUGAAGACCCUGGUGAAGGAACACUAGAGCAUGUGGAAGCAGAGGACACAUUGUCAGAGGACACCCGAGGAUGACUGAAAGAAGCUCGGCAGGUAAGCUGGGCACUCGUAAGAACCAGGGUAACAAUGGGACAGAAUGAAAGUAAACAUUCUGCUUAUUUACAUUUCUUUUUUUUGUGUGUGGGUGGCAAGCCACCCAGGCGCCAAGGCAAGAGACUGAAGGCACAAGCUUGUUACAGUAUAAUAAAGAAAAUACUUAAAAUAAGAAUAGUUAUAUUAGACGUAGAAUAUAGACACGAUUAUAUAUGAAUAUUAUCAAUCAUUAGUUUGUAGCAUUACUCUUUAUUCCAAUAUUAUAAUAAUCUCUGUUUUACAAUUAUAACCUAGGAAAAACCAGGCCAUACAGAGAUAGGAGCUGAAGGGACAUGGUGAGAAGUGACCAGAAGACAAGAAUGCGAGCCCUCUGUCACGCCCAGACAGGGCCACUAGAGGGCUCCUUGGUCUAGCGGUAGUACCAGUGCCUGGGAAGGCACCCGUUACUUAGCAGACGGGGAAAGGGAGUCUCCCCUUCCCUGGGGGAGUUAGAGAAGACUCUGCUCCACCACCUCUUGUGAAAGGCCUGACAUCAGUUAAGCCCACCCACAGCCAUCCAGAGGCCUAAACGUCUCCCUGUGAUGCUGUGCUUCAGCGGUCACGCUCCUUGUCCACUUUCAUGUUCAGCCCUGUACACCUGGCUCUGCCUUCUAGAUAGCAGUAGCAGAAUUAGUGAGAAUAUUAAAGUCUUUGAUCUCUCCAAGAAAUUCAUAGAAGAAAUAAUGGCAUAAGCUGUCCCCUCUCUCUCUCUCUGCCUCAGCUGCCAAACAGGGAAGGGCUCCCUGUCUGGUGGACAUGUGACUCACAUGACCUUACCUAUCAUUGGAAAUGACUCACAUUCCUUACCCUGCCCCCUUGCCUUGUAUACAAUAAAUAACAGCACAGCCAGGCAUUCGGGGCCACUACCGGUCUCCACAUUUUGGUGGUAGUGGUCACCCGGGCCCAGCUGUCUUUUCUUCUAUC